rnacentral:tRNA from 1 species
GGUGAGUGUCGAGUCGCUGAAGGAGCACGCCUGGAAAGUGUGUAAACGGCAACGUAUCGGGGGUUCGAAUCCCCCCCUCACCGCCA